rnacentral:rRNA from 1 species
AAAAGCUGACACAUGGAGAUAGCGGGACCCGGGCGUUGGUUGACCCGGGCGAAAGGGACCGAAAUCAAGUAGGGAAGUCCGCGAUGCUCUGUGGCGAGAAAAGGCGAAGAUAAGGUGCCCGUACCGCAAACCGACACAGGUAGAUGAGGAGAGAAUCCUAAGGCCAACGGGAGAAAGGUUGUUAAGGAACUCGGCAAAAUUGCCCCGUAACUUCGGGAGAAGGGGCGCCUCCGAAAGGAGGCCGCAGUGAAAAGGCCCAAGCGACUGUUUACCAAAAACACAGGUCUCUGCUAAAUCGAAAGAUGACGUAUAGGGGCUGACGCCUGCCCGGUGCUGGAAGGUUAAGAGGAGAGCUUAGCGCAAGCGAAGGCUUGAAUUUAAGCCCCAGUAAACGGCGGCCGUAACAAUAACGGUCCUAAGGUAGCGAAAUUCCUUGUCAGGUAAGUUCUGACCCGCACGAAUGGCGUAACGAUUUGGGCGCUGUCUCAACAGCCUACCCGGCGAAAUUGUAGUACCGGUGAAGAUGCCGGUUACCCGCAACUAGACGGAAAGACCCCAUGGAGCUUUACUGCAGCUUAAUACUGAGAUUCGGUAAUUCAUGUACAGGAUAGGUGGGAGACUUGGAAACAGGGGCGUCAGCUUCUGCGGAGUCACCCUUGGGAUACCACCCUUGGAUUGCUGGGUUUCUAACCUGCGGCCAUGAAUCUGGUCGGGGGACACUGUUAGGCGGGCAGUUCGACUGGGGCGGUCGCCUCCUAAAAAGUAGCGGAGGCGCUCAAAGCUUGGCUCAGCAUGGAUGGAAAUCAUGCAAUGAGUGUAAACGUAUAAGCCAAGUUGACUGCGAGACCGACGGGUCGAGCAGGGACGAAAGUCGGAGUUAGUGAUCCGGUGGUAUGUGAGUGGAAAUGCCAUCGCUCAACGGAUAAAAGCUACCCUGGGAUAACAGGCUAAUCUCCCCCAAGCGUCCACAGCGACGGGGAGGUUUGGCACCUCGAUGUCGGCUCGUCGCAUCCUGGGGCUGUAUUCGGUCCCAAGGGUUUGGCUGUUCGCCAAUUAAAGCGGCACGCGAGCUGGGUUCAGAACGUCGUGUGACAGUUCGGUCCCUAUCUGUUGCGGGCGUAAGAGAUUUGAAGGGAGCUGUCCUUAGUACGAGAGGACCGGGAUGGACUGACCCCUGGUGCACCAGUUGUUCUGCCAAGGGCAUAGCUGGGUAGCUACGUCGGGACGAGAUAAACGCUGAAGGCAUCUAAGCGUGAAACUCCCCCUAAGAUAAGAUCUCUCAUCCUGAAAAGGAGUAAGGCUCGUCGUAGACUAUGACGUUGAUAGGUCAGGGGUGGAAGCACAGUAAUGUGUGCAGCUGACUGAUACUAAUAAGCCGAGGGCUUGACU